CUCGGGUGAGUGAUCAAAAUCUGCACGCAUCUGAUGGUUUCAGCCGCAACAGAACGACAGCUUGUCCGCUCUACCGUUCCUGAUACCCUGUUCUUAUUGCGCAUGCACGAGUAGUUCAACUGUCUACCAUGACGUCCUUAUAUAGGAGAGAUCAUUAUUGUCACGCUAAACGGAUCAGACUGCUCGGUGACCACGUUUCCUGAUGGUCACCACUACGCAUCAUGGGGCACCAUAAACUCUAGCACAAGUACGAACAAACUGGAGUGGAGCGAUGGCAAACUCCUUGCCAAGAAAACACCAUGAGAAGGACUCAAAGAUGUGCAGAUAGGCACGAGUUCUUCAUGGUGGGAAUCCUGAAGACUGCUACUCUCGGCAGUGCCAUCUAGGAAUUAUUAGGCCAAUGUUAUUGCAAUGGAUGUGAUUUAGCAUUGCUCGUGUUUCCCAAGGGUUUGCUACAAAAGCACCAGGAGACAAGAUGACUUAGCAUCGUAUCGUAUGCAAGUGUGACUGCCCUUUCUGUGAAGUUUGGCGGUUCUCAAAGGUACAUCCGGCCCAGUUUAUACAAGCGUAUCGGAGGCUGACUGACGAGCAGUGCAUGGAGGUGUUUCCUAGUCAUCGUGAGAGGUGGCGUGUGCGGACAGUGGUUGAGGCCUUGGAGACUUAUCCAACGCAGACCAUCCGUGGCAUGGCUCAACUCAUCGGCAUGUCUAAGACUCGUGUGUACGAGACACUAAGAGAUGCUUUUUCCAAGCUCGAAGAUUAUUGUUACUAUUGAAUAAUUACUAUUGUUGCCAAAGAUGUAAAUAAAAGAUGCAGAGUAA